GAUGAACGCUGGCGGCGUGCCUAACACAUGCAAGUCGAACGGACAUUUUUUGGAAAGUUCUUCGGAACUGGAAUCUAAAUGUUAGUGGCGGACGGGUGAGUAACGCGUGAGCAAUCUGCCUUUCAGAGGGGGAUAACAGCCGGAAACGGCUGCUAAUACCGCAUAAGCGCACGGGGCCGCAUGGUUUUGUGUGAAAAACUCCGGUGGUGUGAGAUGGACCCGCGUUGGAUUAGCCAGUUGGCAGGGUAACGGCCUACCAAAGCGACGAUCCAUAGCCGGCCUGAGAGGGUGAACGGCCACAUUGGGACUGAGACACGGCCCAG
rnacentral:rRNA from 1 species